GAUGAACGCUGGCGGCGUGCCUAAUACAUGCAAGUCGAGCGAACAGAUGAGGAGCUUGCUCCUCUGACGUUAGCGGCGGACGUGUGAGUAACACGUGGAUAACCUACCUAUAAUACUGGGAUAACUUCGGGAAACCGGAGCUAAUACCGGAUAAUAUAUUGAACCGCAUGGUUCAAUAGUGAAAGACGGUUUUGCUGUCACUUAUAGAUUGAUCCACGCCGCAUUAGCUAGUUGGUAAGGUAACGGCUUACCAAGGCAACGAUGCGUAGCCGACCUGAGAGGGUGAUCGGCCACACUGGAACUGAGACACAGUCCAGACUCCUACGGGAGGCAGCAGUAGGGAAUAUUCCGCAAUGGGCGAAAGCCUGACGGAGCAACGCCGCGUGAGUGAUGAAGGUCUUCGGAUCGUAAAACUCUGUUAUUAGGGAAGAACAAAUGUGUAAGUAAAUAUGCACGUCUUGACGGUACCUAAUCAGAAAGCCACGGCUAACUACGUG
rnacentral:rRNA from 1 species